AGCGAACGCUGGCGGCAGGCCUAAUACAUGCAAGUCGAGCGGUCCCUUCGGGGGCAGCGGCGGACGGGUGAGUAACGCGUGGGAACGUGCCCUUUGGUACGGAACAACUGAGGGAAACUUCAGCUAAUACCGUAUGUGCCCUUCGGGGGAAAGAUUUAUCGCCAUUGGAGCGGCCCGCGUUGGAUUAGGUAGUUGGUGAG
rnacentral:rRNA from 1 species